rnacentral:rRNA from 1 species
UUGGUUAAGUUAGAAAGGGCGCACGGUGGAUGCCUUGGCACUAGGAGCCGAAGAAGGACGGGACUAACACCGAUAUGCUUUGGGGAGCUGUACGUAAGCGUUGAUCCAGAGAUUUCCGAAUGGGGGAACCCACUAUCUUUAGUCGGAUAGUAUCCUUACGUGAAUACAUAGCGUGAGGAAGGCAGACCCAGGGAACUGAAACAUCUAAGUACCUGGAGGAAGAGAAAGAAAAAUCGAUUUCCUGAGUAGCGGCGAGCGAAACGGAAAGAGCCCAAACCAAGAAGCUUGCUUCUUGGGGUUGUAGGACACUCUAUACGGAGUUACAAAAGAAAGUUAUAAAUGAAGCGGUCUGGAAAGGCCCGCCAAAGACGGUAACAGCCCGGUAGUUGAAAUGGCUUUCCCUCCAGAGUGGAUCCUGAGUACGGCGGAACACGUGAAAUUCCGUCGGAAUCCGGGAGGACCAUCUCCCAAGGCUAAAUACUCCCUAGUGACCGAUAGUGAACCAGUACCGUGAGGGAAAGGUGAAAAGCACCCCGGAAGGGGAGUGAAACAGUUCCUGAAACCGUGUGCCUACAAGUAGUUAGAGCCCGUUAAUGGGUGAUAGCGUGCCUUUUGUAGAAUGAACCGGCGAGUUACGAUUUGUUGCAAGGUUAAGCGGAAAAAGCGGAGCCGUAGCGAAAGCGAGUCUGAAUAGGGCGCAUAAGUAACAGGUCGUAGACCCGAAACCAGGUGAUCUACCCAUGUCCAGGAUGAAGGUAAGGUAAUACUUACUGGAGGUCCGAACCCACGCACGUUGAAAAGUGCGGGGAUGAGGUGUGGGUAGCGGAGAAAUUCCAAUCGAACUUGGAGAUAGCUGGUUCUCUCCGAAAUAGCUUUAGGGCUAGCCUCGAGGUAAAGAGUCAUGGAGGUAGAGCACUGUUUGGACUAGGGGCCCUUCUCGGGUUACCGAAUUCAGAUAAACUCCGAAUGCCAUGUACUUAUACUCGGGAGUCAGACUGCGAGUGAUAAGAUCCGUAGUCGAAAGGGAAACAGCCCAGACCACCAGUUAAGGUCCCCAAAUAUAUGUUAAGUGGAAAAGGAUGUGGGGUUGCUUAGACAACCAGGAUGUUGGCUUAGAAGCAGCCACCAUUGAAAGAGUGCGUAAUAGCUCACUGGUCGAGUGACCCCGCGCCGAAAAUGUACCGGGGCUAAACAUAUUACCGAAACUGUGGAUGAACCUCUUUAGAGGUUCGUGGUAGGAGAGCGUUCUAAGGGCGGUGAAGUCAGACCGGAAGGACUGGUGGAGCGCUUAGAAGUGAGAAUGCCGGUAUGAGUAGCGAAAGAAGGGUGAGAAUCCCUUCCACCGAAUAUCUAAGGUUUCCUGAGGAAGGCUCGUCCGCUCAGGGUUAGUCGGGACCUAAGCCGAGGCCGAUAGGCGUAGGCGAUGGACAACAGGUAGAGAUUCCUGUACCAGUGCUAAUUGUUUAACCGAUGGGGUGACACAGAAGGAUAGGGAAUCGCACGAAUGGAAAUGUGCGUCCAAGCAGUGAGUGUGAGAAGUAGGCAAAUCCGCUUCUCGCGAAGCAUGAGCUGUGAUGGGGAAGGAAAUUAAGUACGGAAGUUCCUGAUUUCACGCUGUCAAGAAAAGCCUCUAGGAAGAGUAGUACUGCCCGUACCG